UUGUGGAGGAGGACGCCGAAGGUGGGGCUAAUGACUGGGGUGAAGUCGUAACAAGGUAGCCGUACCGGAAGGUGCGGCUGGAUCACCUCCUAACAGGGAGACAACAAAAUGUUUAAUAUUAUUAUUUUGUCACCUUAGGUCGAUCGGUAUCUCACGUUCUUAAUUUAUUAAGAAUUUCAUUUCCUAAGUUUUUCUAGGUCACACCCAUUAUUUUUCCUGGGCCAUUAGCUCAGGUGGUUAGAGCGCACCCCUGAUAAGGGUGAGGUCCCUGGUUCAAGUCCAGGAUGGCCCAUAUCUCUAUGUUGGGGGUAUAGCUCAGUUGGUAGAGCGCCUGCUUUGCAAGCAGGAUGUCAGCGGUUCGAGUCCGCUUACCUCCACUGAUCACCACCUCUUCCAUAAUCGAUAGAAAGGAAAUGUUUUGAGUUGUGAUCUAAUUCUGAACGAAUCUAGCUUCCUAAUGAAAUUAUUAAGAUGCUGGACUCAUUGAAUUAAUUUCAUUGUUUUCAGAGAACCUUGACAACUGCAUAGAUUAUUUUUUAAAGACAAUAAGCAUCUUUAAUGAUGCAGAUUUAUUAUUUGUGCGAAUGCAUUAAUAACAAUUCUAUUAAGCUGAUGCUUCAAUUUUUGAAGUUAUUGGUCAAGCUACAA
rnacentral:misc_RNA from 1 species